UACGUAGGUGGCGAGCGUUGUCCGGAAUUACUGGGUGUAAAGCGCGUGUAGGCGGGAGGCCAAGUCUGCGGUGAAAUCGCUCGGCUCAACUGGGCGGGGUCCGUGGAAACUGGUCACCUGGAGGACGGUAGAGGCGGAGUGGAAUUCCCGGUGUAGUGGUGAAAUGCGUAGAGAUCGGGAGGAACACCAGUGGCGAAGGCGGCUCGCUGGGCCGGACCUGACGCUGAGACGCGAAGGC
rnacentral:rRNA from 1 species